rnacentral:rRNA from 1 species
GCCCAGACUCCUACGGGAGGCAGCAGUGGGGAAUAUUGCACAAUGGGGGGAACCCUGAUGCAGCGACGCCGCGUGAGUGAAGAAGUCAUUCGUGAUGUAAAGCUCUAUCAGCAGGGAAGAAAAUGACGGUACCUGACUAAGAAGCCCCGGCUAACUACGUGCCAGCAGCCGCGGUAAUACGUAGGGGGCAAGCGUUAUCCGGAUUUACUGGGUGUAAAGGGAGCGUAGACGGCAGCGCAAGUCCGAAGUGAAAGCCCGGGGCCCAACCCCGGGACUGCUUUGGAAACUGUGAAGCUGGAGUGCGGGAGGGGCAGGCGGAAUUCCUGGUGUAGCGGUGAAAUGCGUAGAUAUCAGGAGGAACACCGGCGGCGAAGGCGGCCUGCUGGACCGUAACUGACGUUGAGGCUCGAAAGCGUGGGGAGCAAACAGGAUUAGAUACCCGAGUA